rnacentral:snRNA from 1 species
GGGUAAUCUGGCUGUGACAUCUGUCACCCCCCCUGAUUGUCAGGGUUGACUCAGCUGAUCUGGCUGGCCAAACUGUUGACCCAUUCCAUGCAUAUCCCUCCUGAAGUUGCAUGGCUGGUCGAGGAGGAUGACCUAUCUUACACGGAGGAUACACACAUACCUGAGGCCCCAACAGAGCUCUCCUCAAGACAAGAGAUGGUAAAUGCUGGUAAUGUUGAAGAGGAGGAAGCAGAGAAUGUGAAGUAUCCUCCAUGGGCUCAUGUGUUUGACCAGUUGG